UGUGGGUGUUCGCCUUUUCGGUGAAGUUACUGAAUGCUUCUUCACCGGGUUAACAUCUACAGA
rnacentral:pre_miRNA from 1 species